UCGUUGCAAAACGCAUCUUCUUUACAACUGCAAAAGUGAUUGAAUCUGCUUAGUGGUAUUACCAGUUCUUAUCCCUUCACAAAGGUUUGAUAUGGCCUGAUAGAUGGGCAUAAUAUCAAUAAGGUUUUUCCUUAAUAUUCAUAAAUUCUAUCAAAAAACACUAUUUAAUGACUUGAAUCAAAUGUCUGGAUCCAACGGAAUCGUUUCCGCCUCUUUUAAAUUGUUCCAGAACGCGUAGGCUUCAUCGAUAAGAAUUCGUUGCAGUACGAGCUUAAAUAUGGCUAAUUUUUCCGUAAUAUCCUUAGAUAUUCUUUUUAACUGCAAAAGUGAUUGAAUCUGCCCAACUCGUACAAUCAGAUGUGAUUAACAAUACAGACAACUUUUUAUGGACAGCAAUUUGCAAGAUUCCUGGCUUUUAUUUUCCUUAAUCAUAACCAAAACAAUUAUCCUUGUUCUAACCAUUGUCAUCAUCUUAGUCACCAUCAGUGAUUUUGGUUAAAUGACAUAGUGCUUUAUUGGGAGUGCCCAAAUCUUAAUUUCCUUAUCUUAAACUGAAAGACGUGACCAAAAAUCAAAGGUUUUCUGAUGUGAUGUCGUUGAAGCUGUGCGAGGAAUCCGGAAUCGGCACAUAGAUGAUAUUAUAACAAGAAGUUUCCAAAUUAAGCAAGAUUUCAAUGAUAU